rnacentral:tRNA from 1 species
GGCCGGGUAGCGCAAUGGUAGCGCGUCAGACUUCGGAUCUGGAGGCUGUGGGUUCGAGUCCCACCUCGGUCG